rnacentral:rRNA from 1 species
GACGAACGCUGGCGGCGUGCUUAAUACAUGCAAGUCGAGCGGAUGGAAGGAAGCUUGCUUCCUAAAGUCAGCGGCGGACGGGUGAGUAACACGUGGGCAACCUGCCCCUAAGAUCGGGAUAACUUCGGGAAACCGGAGCUAAUACCGGAUAGGAUUAUGUCUCACAUGAGACAUAAUGGAAAGACGGGUUAGGCUGUCACUUAGGGAUGGGCCCGCGGCGCAUUAGCUUGUGGGGGAGGUAAAGGCUCACCAAGGCGACGAUGCGUAGCCGACCUGAGAGGUUGAUCGGCCACACUGGGACUGAGACACGGCCCAGACUCCUACGGGAGGCAGCAGUAGGGAAUCUUCCGCAAUGGACGAAAGUCUGACGGAGCAACGCCGCGUGAGUGAAGAAGGUUUUCGGAUCGUAAAACUCUGUUGUUAGGGAAGAACAAGUACCAUAGUAACUGAUGGUACCUUGACGGUACCUAACCAGAAAGCCACGGCUAACUACGUGCCAGCCGCCGCGGUAA